ACUCUUGUAACAAGGAACCCUUAUCAUUAAUUGUGUAAAAGUUCAUGUGCUAUUGCUUGGAAGUUAAAAUCUAUCUAGAUGUGAAAGUUUUUACCGAUUCUUUUUGUCAGCAACUCAGCAUCUCUUUCUUGGUUCGAUUGGUCAUUCUCUAGCCUCGCCGAAAUAUGGUGGUUUUGGUACUCCUCACACUUUUGGGUUUCUCGUAAUCCCACUUUCCACACAAAUUUACUCGAUUCUCAGAGUCUGAGGCUCUCAGCAUAUAACCAAUUUUGGUCUCAGCUCUCCCGCCGUGGGAAAGUGGCAACCGCCGAUUUUCUCCGAGCAAAGAACAUCUGAAACUUGUUUUGCUUGCUUUUCGAUUCUCUCGGAGGCCAGGCCAAGCGGGAAUAAGUUUACGGGCGUGGAAAGUUUCUGGAGUUAGCAAUGAAUCAGGCAGAUGAUUCCCUUAGGAACCAAGCUCCAGAAGUAUUGCAAUCUCUGAAUGACAGAUACUCUACAUGGGACAAUGUGCCAUGCCAGAUUGAAGAGGGUCUCUUCUUGGGUUCUAUAGGAGCUGCAAACAACGAGGAACUCAAAAAGUUAAACGUGACACAUAUUUUGACAGUAGCUAAUUCUUUGCCGCCUAAAUAUCCAAAUGAUUUUGUGUAUAAGGUAUUGAAUGUUACGGACACAGAAUGCACAAACCUACGACAGCAUUUUGAUGAAUGUUUCAACUAUAUUGAAGAAGCGAAGGAUCUGGCGGCGGUGUGUUGGUUCAUUGCUUUGUGGGAAGAUCAAGAAGUGUCACUAUUGUUUUGUCCUAUCUGAUGAAAAAGCAUGGCAUUAGCCUUUCUCAUGCUCUUGAACAAGUGAGGAGCAAAAGACCACAGGCGGCUCCAAAUGUUGGUUUUAUCUCACAGUUGCAAGACUUUGAAAAGUCUCUUCAGGUUUCACUGUACAGUAGGUGCUUAAAUUACAUUAUGAAAAUGUAAACAAACAUUGCUCAAAACUCGGAAGAAAAGGAAAAAAAAAUUGUAA